rnacentral:rRNA from 1 species
UACGAAGGGGGCUAGCGUUGCUCGGAAUCACUGGGCGUAAAGGGCGCGUAGGUGGCCAACUAAGUCAGACGUGAAGUCCCUCGGCUUAACCGGGGAACUGCGUCUGAUACUGGAUGGCUUGAGUUUGGGAGAGGGAUGCGGAAUUCCAGGUGUAGCGGUGAAAUGCGUAGAUAUCUGGAGGAACACCGGUGGCGAAGGCGGCAUCCUGGACCAACACUGACACUGAGGAGCGAAAGCCAGGGGAGCAAACGGG